rnacentral:rRNA from 1 species
UACGAAGGGGGGCUAGCGUUGCUCGGAAUCACUGGGCGUAAAGCGCACGUAGGCGGAUUGCUAAGUCAGGGGUGAAAUCCUGGAGCUCAACUCCAGAACUGCCUUUGAUACUGGCGAUCUUGAGUCCGGGAGAGGUGAGUGGAACUGCGAGUGUAGAGGUGAAAUUCGUAGAUAUUCGCAAGAACACCAGUGGCGAAGGCGGCUCACUGGCCCGGUACUGACGCUGAGGUGCGAAAGCGUGGGGAGCAAACAGG